ensembl:lncRNA
UCCCUGGUAGCUUUAAAUUACUAGCAAGGCUAAAGUUCUUGUUUGCUGCAAGAUCAAGCAUGUAUUCCUGUUGUAUGGGAUGCAGUAAUAGAUGAACUCAGCAGUCCAUCCAUCCCUGCUGGUUUCUUACAUCAUUCUGUCAAAGUUCUGCUAUUGUAGAGCCUGGGAUCAAUUUUAAAUAUAAUUAUCCAGUACAGGAAGGCUUAAGCUCUUUAAAAGUGCAGAUCUAAAUUCAGCUAAUCUAAAAUGUAGAAAAGGUCAGCAUGAAUAAACAAGGAGAAAUAAAGCAAUAAAUGACAAUCCCAUUAAGUGAAGAAAUUUAAUAGAAGAAGUAAUCUAUACAUAUGUUUAUUUAUAGUGUAAAACGAGAAAACAUGCCCUGUACUUUACAACAAUGAAGCAUGGCAGGUAAAUUUUAAAGCAGUAAAGGCAUCAAAGAACACAGCUGCUAAACAAACUUCAAUUUUAAUCAAAGAUACUUAUGUUUAGGAAGACAUUUAGAGGCAAAUGAGACUCUUGGCAUUUCUUCAUUUAUUUUAAAUGUAUUAGGAGCUAAUUCAGUGGGCCAAAAUUUCCAGAAGCACUAUAAUAAUGUGCUCUAGUACAACAAAAUGACCACAGAACAUAGCAUAAGAAUCAUAGAAGUGGAGAAGCGCAUCCAAUGGAUGAUAGAAGAGGAAAUGAAUGAAUGGAACUCCUCUGGACAGAAACUCCUGAAGGAAUGUCGAGGCAGAAGCGGGGACAGAAUCAAAGGGCCGAUUUUAUGAUUAUGGAGACUAUACUUGGGGCAAUACCCAGUCUCCUGGCCACCUUGUUCACCAGCUGCAGAAAAGCCUACUCUCAGCUUCAUUCAUAUGCCUGAUAUAUGUUUCCUGCUCAGCUGGACAGCAGGCUAAGGACAAUGAUUUGAGAUACAAUUCAAGAAGGGGCUGUCUAGCCUGACUGUGUUCUACAAAGUCAAGAACAAGCCUCAAUGUUUGCUGCAGAUAAAACAUUCCCCAAAUGCCAUUUGCAAGAAUUCGUGUCAUAGGUCUACUUCUUCAGUCCUAAAAUAUUACUGAGAAGUAUUUAUUGAUAAGUUCUUACAAAAGUUUAUUAGACAGUAAUACUACUCAAACUUCUAAAAAGAUACUAAUAUAAAAUAGCUUUUCCUUCUUGAUUUCACUGGUGCUAUGCAGACUCAUAAUUUCUAAGAUACCAUUUCUGUUCUCACACCCACCUCCGUCUAGCCUUCUCUGUUUUAAGGGGUUAAAACAGAAAAGAUUUAUAUUCUGAAAAUACUUAAAUGUCAGAUUCAUGUCAGCCUGCUUCAGAAACAAGUAUGGGUAAAAUGGUAAAACAGUUUCCUCCUUCUGUUGGGAUGGUAGCUAUUUUUGAGAUACACCUUGGUGAGGAAAAACUAUCGGUGAUAGUGAUUUAUUAGCUUACUUCACUACUGUUAAUUUGGUUAAUUAUUGGUUUCUUUGGUUACUUCUUGUUUCAGUGUUUGCCAGACAUUUGUGGCUAGAUAACUAUAUAUAGUCUGGAGUAGACAAAAAGUUGUUAUAUUCUGCAUUUGUAUUAGAACUUGGUCCAAUGGGCUUGGAUUUUUAACAUAAAUUGGUGCUGAGGACCUAACUUCCAUACCAUACACACCUUGGGGAUGAGGG